UCCUCGCUCAAAGAAUCGCAUUCAAAGCUUACGAACAGGGCAUUUAAAUGCUCGUACCAAUAUAUGCUUUGGGAGAAAGUCCCCGGACGCCCUGACGUAAGUCAGGCACUGCGGAAACGCGCUGCCAUAGAAGCACUUCAUAGCAGCUGAUGCCCUCUUGGCUACCUUCGCGCUGGCUCCGACCUUCGUUGAACCGUCUGCACUCUUCAGUCUUCUGUCCCAAAUGUACCGAUUUUUAUCAGUGCCGGAGCAGCUUUGGGAUGACGAUAUGAGUCCCAUGUUUUGGCAUCGAAGAUUUCGCCGUUUGGGGGGUUGCGUCGAGGAGGUUUCUUGGGGAAACAAUGGGAAUUAGCGGUGGGAAUCUGGCCAAGGAGGUUGCCGUUCGUCGAGAUUCUACAGCUAUGCGAUUGCUCUCCUGUCUCUGAUCCUUCGGGGCUGGGUGAGUAACUCGAUGGGGCUUAUUCUUGAGGCGAGG
rnacentral:RNase_MRP_RNA from 2 species